UCUAUAUUUUCUUGAAUGCCAGUGACAAGCAAAGAUAAAUAUAAUUACAUUUUAUUAUUUUUUGUUUAAUCUAUGUUUUUGAUAUUCAAACGGUUCUAGGUGGUGUUGCUGGAUAGUGUUCAGUGUUUUGAUUGGGUGCUCAGGAGUGGGCGGGCCUUGGGUGGGUGAGAUGGGGUCAGGCAGAGAGAAAGCACGAAAGUGCUAUUACGAAUAACAAUUAUUACCAAUAAUAACAAAUCAUUUGUUUUCAUGAUUUUAUAAAACCUUAACCAAAACAUGUUCUAACACUUGUAAACAUGCUGAAUAUGACAACUUCCAUCUUAUAAUAGAAGCCACAUUAUAGUUCAUGCUGCUUCCAGUUGGACGCACUAGAAAGGUAUUUUUGUUGCCUUUUCGCCUAUACUAUAGGCACACUUAUAAUUGAUUUAAGUAACCUGAUUCAUCCACAAUUCCGGCCAUCAAGCCAACAACCAAGUUCCCCUGUCUAUGAACUUAGUAAUAUACAUGUGACAAUAGUGACAUCCUCUUUUUGUUUUCAGACUUUAUCCAUGAUUGACAUCAUUUAUUCAAAUCAUUGGUCAGCAUUUAACACAAGGGCAUACCCGCUCGCACACACACACACACACACACACACACACACACACACACACACACACACACACACACACACACA